rnacentral:rRNA from 2 species
AGUCGAGCGGCAGCGACUUAACUGAACCUUCGGGGAACGUUAAGGGCGGCGAGCGGCGGACGGGUGAGUAAUGCCUGGGAAUAUGCCCUGAUGUGGGGGAUAACUAUUGGAAACGAUAGCUAAUACCGCAUAAUCUCUUCGGAGCAAAGAGGGGGACCUUCGGGCCUCUCGCGUCAGGAUUAGCCCAGGUGGGAUUAGCUUGUUGGUGAGGUAAUGGCUCACCAAGGCAACGAUCCCUAGCUGGUCUGAGAGGAUGAUCAGCCACACUGGAACUGAGACACGGUCCAGACUCCUACGGGAGGCAGCAGUGGGGAAUAUUGCACAAUGGGGGAAACCCUGAUGCAGCCAUGCCGCGUGUGUGAAGAAGGCCUUCGGGUUGUAAAGCACUUUCAGUAGGGAGGAAGGUAGUGUAGUUAACACCUGCAUUAUUUGACGUUACCUACAGAAGAAGCACCGGCUAACUCCGUGCCAGCAGCCGCGGUAAUACGGAGGGUGCGAGCGUUAAUCGGAAUUACUGGGCGUAAAGCGCAUGCAGGCGGCCUGUUAAGUCAGAUGUGAAAGCCCGGGGCUUAACCUCGGAAUUGCAUUUGAAACUGGCAGGCUAGAGUCUUGUAGAGGGGGGUAGAAUUUCAGGUGUAGCGGUGAAAUGCGUAGAGAUCUGAAGGAAUACCAGUGGCGA